CGGCCACACCCCACAUUUCCUGGACCAACCCAAGUGAUCCUUAAAAAGAUGGCAUCAUUUACAUCAUGCCACUCCCUUUCUCAAAAUUCUUCACCAUCUUUUCUUCCAACUAGGAGCUCAAACCCAAAUCCCGAAACAAGCACGCCCCAGGUUUUCAAACCCAAAUCCCUAAACAAGCACGCCCCAGGUUUUCAAAGCCACGUUGGCAUUUUCAGCGGCAAACUCCCCCACCCAACACCCACCAUUCUGCUUGGGUUGUCAGAAAAUUGGCCAAAAUCUCUUAUUCAUUCUACUAUUUUAAAAUUCCUAUGUUCACCGUGAUAUGAUCUAAAAAUGCAGAUUAUAUCCAUUUUCCUUGUUGUUUUCCUUCCAAUCCUUUUGCUUCUUUUUCUCACCUUGUCCUUCCGGGAGCCCCUGCAGCUGACGCUGAUGUCGGAGUCUCGGGUGUUCCUUCUGGUCUCGCUCCCGACUUGAGGAGGCAGAUUUCAACAUGGAGCAGCAGCCAAACUUACGCAGUGUGCAGACGGAGCUGCUCAGAGGGGAGGGGCAGCGAGCAGGUGCCACGUCCACACCGGGUGAGGCGUGAGGUGAGGGCUCCCCCGCGCCGCCCUGGCGUCCAGGUGGUGAGGGCUGCACGGAAACGUGGACUUCGGCAGAACAUGUGUGCGCCACGGAGCGGCU
rnacentral:lncRNA from 10 species